rnacentral:sRNA from 1 species
GAUAGACAGAGAGAGGCAGAGAGAGGCAGAGGGGGGGGGGGGAUAAUGCAAAAAGGAAGUGUUGGGGUUUCCCUUAGACUCUGACCUCCGGUGCAGGUGGAGCUGUGAAGAUGAAAACUGGAGACCUUUCUUUGGGACUGGUUGUGUGUGCUCACCUGAGUGACCACAAACUCAGAAGCUGAGCCAAUGAGCUACCUGUUGCAACAGCUGCAGGGAUGGAUCCCCAAGAAUAACCUUUUAGGUCUGAGCAGAGAAGCAGAAGCACUGAUAUAUCCCAGGGACAAGCAAGGUCUCCAUUGAGAAGAGGAAGAAGGAAAGACUGACACACUAGGGCACACAUAGGCACACUAGGACACACUACAGCACACUAGGGCUGAAGCCUGAGCAACAUCUCCUCUGUGCAAUGGGGAGCGUAUCUGGAAAGAUUAACAGUAAGGUGGUUUUUUUAUAGCGUUGAAGCAUAUAAAGCAGAACUAUUAAUUUUGAAAUUCUUACUGCAUGAGACUGACUGUGACUCCUGAUAAGAUAGCUACUAGGUGAAGCCAGAUAAAAGGCACUUGUCUUAAGUAAUGCCCUUCAGACUCCAUUUUACCUAAGCUGACCAAUUCCCUCUCUAAGCAACAAUAAUUCCCCAAAACAUAAUGUCUGCCCCAAACAACAGAAAGAACAAAUUAAUUUGACUGGUUGGGCACAAACAUUUACGGUCAGUGUCAGCCAACAACGACUGCACACUUGGGAAGUCCCUAAUCCUGGAGUUCUGAUCGAUGAAAAUCCGAGCUGUACUUGUCCAUGUGCUUGCAGCUUUGAUGCUUAUAAAGCCUGCUUCAACCCCCCUUCUAGGCUGCCAGAAGAAAGAGGCUCCAGAGUCCUUGUCUGAUGGCUGUGAUCCAUCAGGGACCCUGCCUACGUGGUGGGAGUAAAGAAAGACUCUGCUGUUUCAUGAGCUCACUGGUGAUCUCUCCCUUUUUUAAUGAAGUACUCGGCCAACCACAUUCAACCAUACUGAGCUCCCUUGGAGUCCAGGAAUGACAAGAUUGAUCUGUAAAUAUCUUUAUGACAAGGGACCACUCCUGAGCAAAAGCAGGCCUGGCGGGACAGAUCAGCUCCCAGAUGAGGGCAAUCACCUAUGAGGGCUGCACUCUGGAACAGAAGUAAUCACCUCAGAGAAAACGGCCACUCCAGAGUGACAGAGCAAUGCCACCUUCUCCUCCAGCAGCCCUUGCAGAACCAGAGCUGAAAUGACAUAACCAAUCAGGCCUGUGGUCUAGGUCACCUCAGCAAGCCACAAGCUUCCCCUGCUUUCAUUUUUUAAAAAUUUCUCAAAUUUCCUCUCAGCCCCUCGGAAACAGACUUGGCAGUACCAAAAUCAUGAUGAAGACCUUUAAUCUCAUCUGCUAUUAAUUUUUUUCAGGAGACAAAACACAUCCACAAAUCCAAGGAUCACAGCUUGGACAUUUUUGGGGGUACAUUAUUGUAUCCCAUGGAUAAGGAUCAAAACACUGGUUAGGGAGCAGGGGACACAACAAUGUGUUAGUAAGACACCACCCAAAAGGACUAACCAGCCUGAAAUCAGGAAAGAAAACAGAGUCCAGCAAACAGGGUCGGGCAAGCACCACUGGCACUGAACUACAGAGCAUUUACUGCACUGCUCCCUUAAGCAGCCACCACAAUGCUGCCUCUACACCAGCACUCAGAAGGCUGGGGAAAGAAGGCAGGCCACACUCACAAACCCACUCUAGUAGAAUGAUUUUCUAAAGUCAAACGGCACUUACUAAACAUACUAGAGAAAGUGUCCUUUAUGUGGAGAAAUUAGGUCUGCUGUUAAAAACAAAAAUAAACAAACAAAACAAAACCCAAAGAUCUUGGAAAUGGGCUUUUAAAUUUUCUGAAAGGAAUGAAGCCAAACUCAUUACUACAUUACAAACAGUAAAGAUCAUCUUAACAUGCCAGAUGGAACUCCUGUCAUAGUGCCUGUCAUAAAGCAAGAAGAUUCGUUAUACUUUCUUUAAAACAAACAAACAAUAAAACAGAAGCAGGUCCCAGCCCUUCCCUUCCUUGUGGAAGGUCUCCUCUAUGGUUGCCACAGACCCAAACUGUACCUGAGUGAACUGAGGUACAGGGAAGUCAGGAGGUCUUAUGUACAGGGAGAAGAGCCCAAGGGCUUAGCUCUACCCUGCCUUACAAUGGCUGCCUCAAGAAACGCCUAAGCACCCCAAGCUCCAACGCCUUUAGCUUGUAACUAAUGAACAUUAAUGUUAGGUUGUAAAAAGGAUGACAGGAGGGCAAUAUUUAGGACACUAGAGUUCCUGCCACCUUUUAAUCUCUUGUAAAUCCUUACAAGAUACUUAAACAUAGUAGUGUUCAAUUAGAUAAACCACUCCAAGUAAGAAAUAGCACAGUAUAACCUUCUUCUUCUAAAUAUUUAGCUCAUGGGAAGCUACUUACAUCCCCUAGGAAAACAGGAUUAGGCUGAAUACGCCUUCCACCGCAUCUCUCUUUUACAUGUAACCCCCCCAGACGCCUCCCACUGCCUACGCUAGCCACACUGAGGAGUGCUCUGGAGAGACCUCUUCCUAGAGCUGAACGGGAAGAUGAACAGACUGCCACACUGUACAACAGGCAACUAGGUCAACAUGCAGUGAAUAAUUUUAAUAAAACAUGCAUCCCAGGCCUUCCUGGAAUCAUCUUACAUUCUUCUUGUAGUAACUACCUAAUCUCGGGUAUAUGAGGUGGCUGGAGCGGUAAGUGACGUCUGAGGCUGCCUCUUGGCUGUAAACCAUCCACACUGUCCGCUUUACACGGUUAGAAGUGCUGCUGUUGGACCCAUGGUAAACAAACAGAGUGAGAACCCACAGCCCAGCCAGGCUCAGCUUUAGAAGGAUGAACUUCCACCAGGGGGGUGGCUUGCACCUAUAAUGCCAGCACUUGGGAGGAUGAGGUCUAAGACAUCCUGGGCUACCAAGUGAGAUGCUGCCUCAAAAUCUUCCCCCAAAACCCCAGCCCAAAACAUCAAAAUUCUGAUACACAUGAGAUCAUGAAUGAACCCCCAAAGCAGUGUGCUAGUAUAAAGGACAUGUGUAAUAUGAUUCCACUUCACGGUGUACCUGCAAAUGUUAGGUCCACAGAGACAUAGAACAAAGUGUUUAUCAAGGGUGGGAGGAGGCGAUACAGGGAGUGGGUGAGCGUUCAGUGGGUGGAGAGCUCUUGAAUGGCACAAGGACACUUCCUGCGGAGACAAAGUACGAUGUCAUUGAUAAGCUUAAGUCAGGUAACAGUAGGUAAUGAACUGAGCACAGCUCUCAAA